rnacentral:lncRNA from 1 species
GUAACUUCUAUAAAGUCAUAUAUAAUUUUAUACUGAGCAUUUUUCUGGGAUGCUUUUUCUUCUUUGUUUGCUAUUCUUUGCAUUGAGUAAGUACAGACCACUGUAUAAAUAACACUACUGCUUAGAUAGCAUUCCAGUAACAAUUUUUGUCCUAGGUUACCACCCAAAUGUUCUGAGCAGUAGCAUUAAUUUCUAUUUAUAGAAAACAGAUGAGAACCUGUAAGAGUGAAGGGUAAACCAAUUUAGUCUGUAAAAUAAAUGCAAAGUUGUACUUGAUAUGCUUAGUCCUUACUUUUCACGGCAUGUGAGGAAUGUCCUCAUGAUUUGUCAAAUACAUAUGGGGUGAUUUGGAAAAAGGCCAUCUACCUUGUGGCAUUAUACAAAUAGAGACUGCUGCUGCACUCAACAAUACACAAGACUAAAAGAAUUUGAUCCCCCUGAGAUUUACUUGGAAAUAUGAUUGUAAGGAAAUUGGAUUGCUUUGCUGAUAUUCAUUACUGCAGAGAAAAUGUGGUGAAAGGAUGAUCAAAAGUGAGACCAAGAAAAGUGUAUCAGAGGGCUGUGGCCAUAUUCUCCCUCCAGAGCAUGCAGAACUGUGACUUUUUGAAGCUACCGGCUGCUCUAAAAAGAGCUAAGACUAAUGGACUAAAAAGAUCUUAUUUCAGUUGCUAAGGAAAAGCAAGUAUGGAUGAGACUAGAAGAUUGGAAAAACAAAGGUGGUCAUUCUCUGCUCUGCAGUUUUCUUAGGGUUAAAUAGAAACUGAGAAUAAGAUAACUGCCAAGAAACUUUCCUAUUUAAUUGUGGUUCUCUGUUGUAUUUUGCUUGCAAAUAGAAAAUUAUGAUGAAAUUUCUGCCUCUUCCAUUGUUGUUUUUGAUUGUCUGUAUU